CGCAGUGUUCCAGCUUAAGCGCAUGCUCCCAUCGCUUUUCCAUUUUGUCGGAAUACAAUGAAUAGAGUUGAAAUUAUUACAAUUAAUUCCAUGAGAAACGCUCCACAUGAUCAUCGUUGCGCAUGCUUUGUUUACCAACAAAGCGACCAUGCUGUGAAAGAACGGCAGAGCGUAAUAUGAUUAUCUCUCUCACUCCAGUGGUUUAAGCAUGCGCUAUGUUGUUCAUACAUUUAGUACGUUUGGGACGAAACAGCUGAUCGAUAAGUGAGCCCUUUCUCUUUCUUUUCUAGCUACAUCUCUUUCUGUCAUGUUGAAUUUUAUCGUUUUAGGAACGUAUACAAGGGUGGGUUGAAAAGUCGGCGAUAAUUAAAAUGAACUUUCGCCCGAAAAAAACGAUAAAAGUUCACGGGGGCUAUUCUUCCGUUUUGCCCAAAAUUGUGAAUGCGGAUAAGUGAUUUCAAAACGUUAGUUAACGAUACGUACUGAGCAAGGUACUUUAAAAAGACAGGUACCUUCUUAACCGCUUUGACAGGUCACCAUUUUGAAUUUGUUUGACAUUCAUAGCAGGGCGCUUUUUUCAACAAAACCACAUCAUUCGAGCGACCGAGUUGUGUUUUACAGCGAGUGAGCACGGUCCAGGAACGCUAGCUAGCUUUUGUUCCAGGCCGCGUGGCAAGACCUACGGACCGAUACCAUAUUGAAAGUAUUGAAAGAAUUUUGGGAAUAUUUGCAUAAACUUCAACUUUCGUGCCACUUUUCGUGAAUUUGAACUGUCGUAAUACCACAGAAAAGCGAAAACAGCUCCGAAAAGAGCGUUCCCGAAGUAAACAUCCCACCAUCCCGUGAAUGUCAAACUCUGAAGUUUUUUCUAAAAUACGAUCGAGGAUUUGUUCUGGAUAAAGCUACCUGUCUUUUUAAAGUACCUUGGUACUGAGCUACUGAAUUAGUUAGACAGUUGGGGAAAUCAUUGUUGAUGUUCCGGCCGGUAGGACACCAAAAUGUCCUUGUUCCACGCUAACGCAGGAAAGGCUGAGAUCAUACGCAGCGUGCAGAAGGAUCAGCUGCAUAUCGAGGAGGUACGAACUGCCCUUAGUGAUCUGCUUGUGGUGCUGAGUCAGAGGCACUGGUACCGAUACAAUGCGCUUUGCAAGCCGAUAGCCGAGACCCUGUACCAUCACUACGCGAUCCUGAAUAAUCUGCAGACCCUGGGCGAGGAGUACACAGGCAUCAUACAGGUCGACUCAAACUAUGUGAUGCUUCCGAACAAGGUGCUCCAGUUGCUAGCGAUUCUGCUUCAGUUCGGCGGUGAGCCGGCUGCUGACCAGCUUCUAGCUUAUCUACAGUAUGAGCUGCAGCGUAGUGGUGAGCUGCUACCUUCGGCAAAGCGAGCGAUCAACAAGUUCAUAGAGUUCGUGCGAGCCAGCAUUCCGUUCGUACGUGCCUUCCAUACCAGUAUGUUCUAUAUUAACGGGGGCAAGUACCACAUCUCGAAACGACUGACUGGAAUUAACUAUGUGUUGAUCCGGAACUGGCUGAAGGAAAACCACUCUAUCCUGGGCUAUAGGGUACUGGGUUAUGUUACGCUUGCCCAGCUGGUGCUCACCCUAGCUGCCUACUACCGACAGCAUUGGCGGGAUGCACAGAGGGUACCUAAAUCAAUGCAAGACAAAGUCACAGUACCUGCAAGGGCAAGCGGUCGGACAGAGAACAGCGACAGUUCGUCAGGCACUCCGCAAAGCAAAUGUGCACUGUGCAUGGACAAGAUACAGGAGGUUAGCCUGGCGCAAUGCGGACACCUGUUCUGUUGGCAGUGCAUUUUUAGCUGGCUCGAUCAGCGCCAAGUGUGCCCGAUCUGCCGGGACACCAUAAAAAAAUCACGGAUCGUGCGGCUGCAAAAUUUCGUCAUUAGCUCAGCGACACCUCAACAGACCAUCCAACGGUGAGCCUGUCAACUCUGGUUUCGUUAACUAUGUUAUUAUAGAUUAACCGUUUUAGCAAUUACUGGAUCGCUAAUAGACGUACAAUCCAUGUUACAUAAUAACAAUAUAACGUACAGAAAUUUAUAAAGAGCAAACUUAAGGUGAAUCGUAACCAUUAUGAGAAUUAACAAACGGUAAAAUUGUAGGUACAAGCACUACUGUGGGUUUUCAUGAAUGAAAUACUUGAUGAUGAAAAAAUUACAGUCACUAUGCAAUCAACCAUGUAAGCUAUUUCUAAUAGCCAGGUAUGAGAGACAGCUCGAACCUGCGUGCGUUGCUAUUGUGGUAUAUGAGGAAUAGUUGUAUUAAAUAUAUAUUUCAGAAUGGUUACUUGCUUUAUGAGAGCUGAAUAGGAAAUGAUUGAAUAGAUGAAGUAUAUCCCACAAAUUCAGUGUAUUGGCUUUUGGAAACUACAUUUUUCUGGCACGUUGAAAUUUGAUAAAAGAACGUAUUUCAGAAAAUGAGGGAAAAUGAAAUAGAUAUGGAAAAUUCCCUUGGUAAAAGGCAUUCAAAAAUUCAAAUACAAUCAAAUAAGACAGUAAUGAGGAUGGCCAAAUCUUGUACAAGGUAUAACGAUGCUGUUUAGUCGUUUUACUCUUGCGUCUUUCCUCUGCUCUGUGUUUCCUAUUAAACGUAAUCCAGCAAUGCACUGUAAUCUUCCGUAGCUGCAGCAGUAGCAGCUGUUGCUGUAAUAACUUGACCAGGGACUUGACCGCUGUAAGAAUCAGGCC